AUUCAGACACACGUGACAUUUCUGCCAAGGGCCCAAACGCAAUCCCUGAGGUCCUGGAGAAAAAUCAAUGAGACCACACAUGACAGAAGAAAAACAAAAAGAGAAGCAGCCACAGAAAAUCAACAUGAAACGAGUCAAAGGAUCCAUUGAUGGCUCCAUCGCUCCUCUGUGGGCUCCUGCUGCGGGUCGAGUCCCGGCGGGUGUGAAGCUUCAUCCCACAUCUGACUGCUGGACCGCUGGAUGAAGGAUCAGUCAUUCCUCCGGUGACAGAUCGAUGAGUGUUACAGAGGACAGCGGGUCAGAGGUCAUCUGCUCAUGUGAUUUGAAUGACAGGAGUGCUGUGUAUAGAUAAAAGGCUGUACUUAGAGCAGCGCUGUUUAGUGACUGGGAGAAUCAGGCUGUUUAAGGCCAUGUCUGAUGCUAAACCGUGUAGAAAGGAGUGUGGAAAAGAAGUGGCCAUCUGGAUGACAGGCAACCGGUCAGGAACAGCCUAAAGGUCAGUGUGCUCAUUACAGCCUGAUUUCAAAAGAGCAGGCAUUUUUACUAAACAACUGGUAAAAGAUAUAUUGCUUAUUUGAAAAGACAAUGAUGUGAUUUUAACUCAGCAGCAUAAUCUAGUUACAGAAUGUUGGCUUCCUUUAAAAGAAAGUCCUGUUUGCUUAUUAUAAACAGAGAUUUUCUAUCAGCAAACAGAUUUGUGCUCUCUCUUCAGUAAAUAAAUUACUGUGCAAGAAAUAUUUACUUCAAAAUGCAGGGAAGGGUCAGAAAUUACAGCACAUAAAUCAUACAUUCAUCCCCUUUAAGUCUGGCUAGAAAAAUUCGAGAUUUCUCUGUGCCUGACGGGUCAAUAAGCAAGAG